rnacentral:lncRNA from 1 species
UUUUUUUUUUUUGCUUCCAUAGCACUGAACCACCUUGCUUCUCCUCAUUGGUAUUAUUCCUUUUUAGUCUUCCUCAUGGCUCCUCUUCUUCCACUUUUUCCAUAAGUGUUGGUUGUGAAGGUCAGGCCUUAGUCCUCUUUCCUUGUCCUAGUGUCCCUUCCUGGACCAUGAUUCACUCCCAUGGUGUGACCCUCUUUGGAGCUAGCUCCCAAAUCCAUCUCCCUAUCCUAAGCCUCUUGUUUAGUGACUUUGUUUCUAACACUCUGCAGGUCAUUGCCAUAGGGAUGACUCACCAGCACCUCCAAUCCAAACUGUCCAAGCGGAGCAAUUUCUGCCUUUUACUGAACCAGCCUCUUCUUCUGACUUCCCUAUUUCUAGCAAAUAUCACCAUGCCCUCAGUCACCCGGGUAGAAAAUUAUGUUAUAACCUUUGAUUCUUUCAUCUUUCUCACCCACUAUAUUCUAUUAUUUUUAAGAUAUAAAAAGAUUCGACCUCCAAUAUCUCCUAUUACCACCCCAUUCAAUGGCCCUCUGUUACCUGUUGACAAAUCUCACCCUGCUAUGCAUUUCCUCUCUCCAUUGGUAGCCCAAACCAACCCUUCUUUUUCUAGUUUGUUCCAACCGAAUUAGAGUCUGUCCUGUUCUCAAACACAUGCCAAGAUUUCCUGCCUCCCUGCUCUGAUCCAUGCUGUUCCCAAUACCUGCAACACCUUCCCUCCAACAUAGGCAAAUCUUUCCUGACCUCCCUAUUGAUAACCUAAUGAGUUUUCCUAAGUUUUUGCAGUAUUUUUCAUGGUCUACUCUUUGUUUUUAUCUAUUUGUUUCACCUCCUAAGUUAGACUAUGGAUUCCAUGCCUCAAGUAUCUCAAUUUCCCACAACCCUACAUAAUGUGUGCAUGGGAGAUGAUGAAUGGAACUGAGUGGAAAGCACCAAGUUGCAAAGACCCUCUCCUCUCCUCUAGUCUCCUCUCCUCUAGCCAGGCAAAUAUUCUCUUAACUGUCUCCAUGAGCCUCCUUUCCCUCUAUGGCCUGAGCACUGCCCAUGAGGCAUGUGCUGUUCUAAGUACGCACAUGUUUUAACUGCUUUAAACCUCUGAGAAAUCCUGUGAAGUAGACACUGUAAUCUCUAUUUUACAGGUGAGGAAACUGAAGCACAGAGAGGUUAAGUGGUGUAUCUAAAUUCAAACAGCUAGUAUGGGGUCACCUGGGUGGCUCAGUGGUUGAGCGACUGCCUUCAGCUCAGGGCGUGAUCCUGGAGUCCCGGGAUCGAGUCCCACAUGGGGCUCCCUGCAUGGAGCCACCUUCUCUCUCUGCCUGUGUCUCUGCCUCCCUCUCUCUCUGUCUCUCAUGAAUGAAUAAAUAAAAUCCUUAAAAAAAAAACACAGCUAGUAUGGAAGGAGUCAGGUUCUCACCCAGACCCUCUGACUCCAAAGCCCAUCUCAGAUCACAGUGCUAUAAUGAAAUGCAGAUUCAAAAGAGGGAGAUACUUGUAGGUUUCAAUGGUCAAAAGCUCAAAACCCACAGCUGGGUAGGUCUUCCCAUGUGUGGCCAGAUAUGUACAGAUGUGUAGCUGAUUGUGAGUGUAUGUGCAACGGAAGGAAGGAGAGGUUUGUCCUUGCAUUCUGCUGUUCAGCUGGUGCUUGUGUAUUUGCUAUUAUUUCCUGAACACAAACUUCCUAAGAGAAGAUGGUAUCAUCUAUGACUUUAUUCUGCUGCUGGAGUCUAAUCCAGGGCUUGUCAUGUAGUAGGUGAUCCACAAUUUUAGGACUGAACUGUAUUUUUAUGUAUAAAAUGCUCAAGUCGUGUACCAACGUUUAAGCUUCUGUUGUCUGCCCCAACUUCUCCCAGCCUCCUGACAUACACCCACUCUCUCACAAAGCAGGUGCAGUUCAGCAGAAUAUAAGCAAAUCAGCUCUGAAUGUCAAAACAGGAUUUUACUCAAUUAUUAAUUUGGGAGAACCAGGAGAACAGCAAAUAAAUAUCCCAAUGAGGUCAUGUUAUGAAGUAUGUGAAAUCCUCCCAGAUCUAAUAUUCAGUUUAGGCUCUGCUGUCUGAAAAAAUUUCCAGAUUCAAGCCAGAGGCCAUAAGACAUGGCUUACGAUGAUAACUCAGCAGCUGUAGAGGCCCAAUGCAACGGUCAAGACUGAGUGAGGGGCAGCUUCCCAGGAACAGGUGCCCAGAGGGCAGAGGCUGAAAUACUUCUCCAAACAGACCAAUUAGCUCAAGCACAGUAGCCAGAGCCUGAGCCCUGACAUCUGGGUAAGUUGGGCUACAGGUCAGGACCCGGAUUAUCGAUUCUGUAGGUGGCCAGGCUCUGGACCAGCAUCAGCCUUCCAUUGUUCCAUGCUCUUCAGGCCAGCCAGAAUGGAGAUCCAAGCACAUGAAAUGCCACUUAAGGCUGAGGCAAGUUGGCAGGUUCCUGACAGCUGCUCUCUGGCUAUAACAUAUAUAGGUGCCAGGGCCACAAUGAAUGCCAAUGAAGAGAGGGGAGGAAGAAUGAAGGAGUGGAGAAGCAACAAGGGAAAGAGAUUCGGAGAGUGAAUGCCCCAACCAUUCAACUCAUCCCACUUCACCUGCCAUCCUUGACACCCAUGUCUAAAGCCACCAUCGUCUGAUCCCAACAGGCUGACUCCCUGUGGCCUCCAGACCUGGUGGUCCCUCCCCAUCUCUCUCAAGCUUCUGCCUAGGCAUAUGGACACAUGGACUGCCCCCCCGGCACUGCUGUGUUCAUGAACUGUAGAUCCACCCUCUCCCAUCCUCUGCUACCUCUUUGAGCAAGGAUGUGUCCAAUCUCAGCUCAGCAGCCCAACAAUAUAAAGUAGACUCGUGUCCGAGAGUCAGGAAAUGCAUGAAAGCUUUGGACGCAUAAACAAAUCUUUCAGUCAACCCAUAUUGUUUCAGCAGGGGAUUUUUCAGGACCUGGUGGGAACCAGCCACCAAAGUCUCUCUCAUCAGACCUCCU